AGAGUUUGAUCCUGGCUCAGGAUGAACGCUGGCGGCGUGCUUAACACAUGCAAGUCGAACGGGAAAUAUUUCAUUGAGACUUCGGUGGAUUUGAUCUAUUUCUAGUGGCGGACGGGUGAGUAACGCGUGGGUAACCUGCCUUAUACAGGGGGAUAACAGUCAGAAAUGGCUGCUAAUACCGCAUAAGCGCACAGAGCUGCAUGGCUCAGUGUGAAAAACUCCGGUGGUAUAAGAUGGACCCGCGUUGGAUUAGCUAGUUGGUGAGGUAACGGCCUACCAAGGCGACGAUCCAUAGCCGGCCUGAGAGGGUGAACGGCCACAUUGGGACUGAGACACGGCCCAGACUCCUACGGGAGGCAGCAGUGGGGAAUUUUGCGCAAUGGGGGAAACCCUGACGCAGCAACGCCGCGUGCGGGACGAAGGCCUUCGGGUUGUAAACCGCUUUCAGCAGGGAAGACAUAGACGGUACCUGCAGAAGAAGCUCCGGCUAACUACGUGCCAGCAGCCGCGGUAAUACGUAGGGGGCGAGCGUUAUCCGGAUUCAUUGGGCGUAAAGCGCGCGUAGGCGGCCGCCUAAGCGGAACCUCUAAUCCCGGGGCUCAACCUCGGGCCGGGUUCCGGACUGGGCGGCUCGAGUGCGGUAGAGGCAGGCGGAAUUCCCGGUGUAGCGGUGGAAUGCGCAGAUAUCGGGAAGAACACCGAUGGCGAAGGCAGCCUGCUGGGCCGCCACUGACGCUGAGGCGCGAAAGCUGGGGGAGCGAACAGGAUUAGAUACCCUGGUAGUCCCAGCCGUAAACGAUGGACGCUAGGUGUGGGGGGACCAUCCCCCCGUGCCGCAGCCAACGCAUUAAGCGUCCCGCCUGGGGAGUACGGCCGCAAGGCUAAAACUCAAAGGAAUUGACGGGGGCCCGCACAAGCAGCGGAGCAUGUGGCUUAAUUCGAAGCAACGCGAAGAACCUUACCAAAUCUUGACAUCCCUCUGACCGGUCUUUAAUCGGACCUUCUCUUCGGAGCAGAGGUGACAGGUGGUGCAUGGUUGUCGUCAGCUCGUGUCGUGAGAUGUUGGGUUAAGUCCCGCAACGAGCGCAACCCCUAUCCUCAGUAGCCAGCAUUUAAGGUGGGCACUCUGGGGAGACUGCCAGGGAUAACCUGGAGGAAGGCGGGGAUGACGUCAAAUCAUCAUGCCCCUUAUGAUUUGGGCUACACACGUGCUACAAUGGCGUAAACAAAGGGAAGCGAGAUUGUGAGAUGGAGCAAAUCCCAAAAAUAACGUCCCAGUUCGGACUGUAGUCUGCAACCCGACUACACGAAGCUGGAAUCGCUAGUAAUCGCGGAUCAGAAUGCCGCGGUGAAUACGUUCCCGGGUCUUGCACUCACCGCCCGUCA
rnacentral:rRNA from 1 species